CAGCGCAGAUCAAACACAAACACAAGGGGAUGACGCAUAAAAACAAACUUCUUGUUGAUGUUUUGAACCUCACUUUGAGAAGCGAAACAGUCAGUACCAGGAAGAACUGGUGUGUCUUAGGUUCAUGCUAACUAAGGAAAAAGACAGUAGUGGAAGAAGUUUGUUUCUUGACUGAAAAGCUUCCAGAAGUCUCCUGAGAUUGCAUUUAAUUUUGGUCAUGCUGUGGUCUCCAACCGCUGAUUUCCUCAGUGAGACGGUUUAAAAGUGCACACACAGAGCUCUGCAACAUCAUCAUCAUCUGCAACAUGGAUCUGUUGUGUAACAUCCUGAAAUGUUUAUCAAAAUAUAAAAUAAAGCUGUUGAUGUGACUGUGAAGUCUGACUGAGUAAUGCCUGCUCAUACUUUGCUCUGUUUGUUGCCACCAAGUGACUGAGGGUUGGACACUCCUUGCAUUAACACAUCUGAAUUCUUCU